UAAUAAAUUAACUGUCCACCAUCAAAGCCAACCCCCUAGCUUUAGGGAACUGCUAUGAAAGUCUGGGGUUCUCACUCAGAAUUUGGGAGGGGAAGUGGGGUUGGCAAUGGGCAGCAUCAGAAAGGGACUCAUCCUUCAGUUUUGCUGGGAUGUUACAGGCUUGAGCUUGUGAUGGAGGUUAAGAUAAGCCUACUCAGAGAUGAGCAAUUUAAAUCAUUACCAGCAAGCACAUUCAACUAGCUCUAUUCAUUAAUGCAGACAGACAUCUGAUGGAAUUAAGGUAUUACCAGGCAGUAUUCUGAUAAAAACUCAGGAAAACCCAAUUCUGGGUAUGCCCAGUUCUGCUUUGGAUCAGUUACCUCACCUUCCCACAAUAUCUUUAAGGAGGUAUUUGUCCAAAGGAAGGAAAGUAAACAAACUAUUAUUAGUUGGGGUCUUGUCUCCAAUCUCUAAUACAGAAAACUAGACUGAAGGUUGGAAGGCUACUUUGUCUGUUAUCAGUUAGAACUAAAUGCCCUCAGAUCCAGCAGGCUAUGUAGGAGCCUUGCCUCAACUCUUCCUUAUUUCUGAUGCCCUAACUGGGGUAUCAGGUUUUACUUCUAUGACACAAAGAAAGACCAGUUCAACUCACUUUCCUGCCAGCUCCUGGAAAAGAGAAUUAUUCAUUAUUUAAAGCAAGGGUUGAUGAACUUUUUGUAUAAAGAGGCUGACAGUAAAUAUUAUAGACUUGUGGGUCAUACAAACUCCGCCACUAUAGCACAAAAGCAGCCAUAGACUCCGUGUAAGUGAAUGGCACGGCUGUCCCAGUAGAGCCUUACUUCUAGCCUGCUGCCCCCUAUGCUAUAUACCAUCUUCAUUCAAUCUAAAUAACUGAACCAAAGUUAGUUUAUUUGAUUUGUUACUUGGGAUGUCCAGGUGCUAUAUCAAAUAUUGGCUUCUAGCUCCUACUUUAAUUGUGCUUCUAAUUACAGGGCACGUCUUAUUAUUACCUUCUAAAAUCUAAUUUCCUUUCCCUCCCUGUCCUGUAUGAGGCCAUAUUCAACUCCAAAAGGAGACUGAAAGCCUUUAGGAAGAUUAUGCUUUGUGCUGAUAUUUAUGAAGGCAUGGAGCAAUGCUUCUGUUUUCUCUGAGGGCAGUGGUAGAUCAUGAGGCCAUUAUGAAAAGGCUUCCACCAUUGCACUGAUACACCCACCGGUUGAAAGGCAAUCUUCUCCUUGCUGUUCUGGUUUAGCAGAAACCUCCCAUCAGAGGGCAGAGUGGACAAGAAACCAACUGGCUCCAAGAGUAGCAGAUAGUCAGUCUCUUAUCGGGAUGCCAAUUGGAUGGAAAACUUUCCUGACUUUGAGGUUUUCUGUCAUAGGAUGACCAAGGACAUAAGCCCCUAAAGGCAAGGUGGUCACUUAUAAUUCCCACCCCUCUUUUUCAAGUUAGUGUUGUCAGGAUUGUGGUUGCCGCCUCACCCCAGGGCCAGGAAAUAGAUCAGGGAGUUUUUCUGGAGAUGUAGGGAGACAACAGGAUGGAAAGGGUAGAAACAAUAUUACUGAACUGCAACCAUAUGUUUGACAAGACUCAGGAUCAGCCCCAAGUCUGAAGAGGCCAACGUCAGAGCCUGCACUUGGGCUAUAUGGAAGCAAGACAUCAGGACUGGGACAUGAGUUUUGUUCUAUUCUUCCCAGAAACGGGGGAAAAGUGGUAUUUGAUAAGCAAAAAAAGUGGGAAGAAAGAGCUGGCAGACAUGCCUAUAGGCUUUCCAAAAAAAGGAACUCUAGAAAGCUGUGGCAACUUCUCACAGAAUUACCAUAAGGCCUCAGGAAAGCCAAUAAGGAAAUAGUGGUGGCUACAGUGGUGGUGAUCACGAUCGCUGGGGUGGUGAUGGUGGUCCUUCAUGUUGAUGGUGACUGUGAUGGUAGCAAUGGUGAUACGGUGGUGAUGCAGAAGGAACAUGGUGAUGGCGAUGGUAGUAAUGGUGAUAGUGAUGAUGUUCAUGGUCAAGGUGGUCAUGGAGGUCAUGAUGGUGGUGGUGAUGAUGAUAGUAUUGUUGCUGUUUGUACUGGUGGUGGGAGAAAGGGAAAGAAAUCAAGACCUCAAGUGGGGGUAAUUACAUUUUUAUUGCCCGGUGCCACUAUAAAAACUCCUAGAAGGGAAGUACACAAAUUUUGACCUUGAUCUCUGCCUCAGAAUUCAGUUUGAUAACUUUGGAGUUAGGAAAGAAAAACAGCAAACUCACAAGCUUCUAUUGAUUGUUUAGCAAAAGAUAGAGACCUGUGGUAAAUGGUUUUUUAUUUCAAUGGGCUUCUUGAUUUUGAAAAUAAAGUGUUUUUUAAUCCACCUCCACUGUUGAUGGAAAGCAUCAGGGCUGCCUUACUGUACAGUUCCAGGAAGCUUUCACUCACCAGUGUGACCGGUACUCCCAGAGGACUUUAAUGCCCAGAGUGUAGCUCUGCUUAACGCCUUGGCAUAACAGCCUGAGGAACGGGACUGAGCCCUGAAGGAAGACCUAAGAAGGCAGAAAGUUCUCAAAAAGGAAAAAAAAAAAAUAGGGCAAACAAUGGAGAGAUAGGCCAGGCCUAAGGCUGGACAGAAUCAGGAGGACAGUCCCAACAGUGGACAGCAGUCCAUGAACUUAGGAAGGGUGUAGUGUGAUACCUACAUUUUGAGUUGUUUCCUAUUCUGAACUAUAUUUACCCUGUGUUCUCUGCAAGUCAAGUUUUACAACAGCCUUGAGUCUUAAGGAAUGCUCAAAAGAAGCUGUUCUUGGAGUCAUGUGAAGGAGUAGGACAAAAACCUCCAGGUGAUAGACAAUUGAGCCAGGAGAGAGACAUCGGGCAAGGACUACUGGUCAUCACUAUCAAAAACAUGGCUCCUGCUGCUGUCAAGACCAACGGCCAGUGUUCAGAAACCCCUUUCAUCCGCACCCAGCCAAGCAUUGGUGACACUCAAUGCUUGAAUGGAGCUUUCAAAACUGCGGUCCACGUGUUGAUGUUUUGUCUGCUGUAGGUUGUCUGGAGCAGGAAGUGUGGAGCUUGGAGGAGCUGCCUGGUGGUCCCAGGGGAGCUGCUGGCAGAAGGACCAUAGGCAGCAGGCAGCGCUGGCCCCGGGGUCCUGGCUGACGCUUGGAAGCUGGACAGAGAGCGCAGCACUGCGAGCAGUAGCUCCUGGCUUUCCAGACCAUGACCCCCCUGUUCCAGUGUCCUCACGAUGGGCAGUGGCUGGGCAGCGGCUGCCGUGCCCCGGCAAGGCCAGGCAGAGGGCCCCCAGCACCCUGCUCUCUGCUAGUCUCUGUGGACUCACAGGUGGGCAGUGGGGGAAUGUUCCAGCCUUAAGUGGUGUAACCCUUUGGGAUCGGAAUGCCACUUCUGGGCACAGGGUGGCUCAGGAACCAGUGGUGCUUGAAUCUCGCUGUGAAGCAGCCCUAAAGGGCGGAUGUGGGGGGCAGAGCCUAGAGCAGGGCUUUCUGGGGGGACCGUGGACGCCGACAGAGCUGGCGAGUUCCCAGGGGUUUGUGGGUGUGGGUGAUCUGCAUCACACUCAGUCCGCCAGUGACCUGCACGCGUUACCGGGCUGAACGCGAAGCUGUGGAUGGUCUUCCUGACUUGCACACUCAGUUCUUGUACUCAGACACCCGCAGCGGCCAAGAGCCCGGGAGUGACGGUUCCGGACUGGUGCCAACAUCCCUCUGCCUCCCCUCGACCUGAACCACCAUCCUGUCCCGGAUAGCGAACCCUGUCCCCACACUGCCCAGGAGGAAACAGCCCCUCUGCCCUUUUAUCCAUCUCUUUCUCCAUCCUCCCCUUCCUUUUUAAACCUCAAAUAGGAGGAACAACUCACGCCAUACCCACCAUUCUCAGGGAGGCUCACUGCAUUGAUUCCAGGGUGAUUUCCCGAGCUAGCCUAUAUUUUGAAAUAUCUGGCACUUGUCUCCUAAGGAACAGAAAAGGAAAAGAAAAUACAAAUUAAAUCUGCAGGACAUGGCUCUGCUCCCUAUGCACACAUGAAUAAGAGAAAGGAAAAAACACCACUGCUCUUAAAGCAGUACCCUCAAGCUGACUGUUGGCAGUCUUCUCGCAGCCUGAAUAUGUCCCCAUUCUCAAUACCAUCUGUUCUCACACACCUGCGACCUUUAAAUAGGCCAAACGUUCCUGUGGCAAUAGGUAAUAGGAACGAUUUCUAUAAGCAACAGACCCCAUCAGGGAAAUGUGGUUUCUUUAGACUCACUGGAUUCUGGAACUUAUUUAUAAUGUAUACAGAAAACAUUCCAAAUGAAUUCUUAGUAAAAGAUAUAAAACAUGGUUGCCUUGCAUCUUUAUUAAAAAGAGGCUAUAGAGCUGAAAGCUGGGUCAACCAUUUUUUCCCCCUCUCAACUGAAUUGUUUUUUCCUUGUUGUUUGGCUAACUUCAGGAAGAUUUUCUUUUUUCCUAAAAAAAAAAUGUUGGUUCUUAAAGAUGAGAAGGUUUCACUCACUGCACUCAAGAUCACAUUUUAAUUAGAAUUAUGGGGCAUUUUAGAUUGUUCAUUUUCUCAUAAUAGAGCCAUGAAACAGUAAUGUCCCAUUUUAUGUAUGAGCAGACUGAGGCAUGGAAAUUUCAGAAAAUUUCUCCAAGGUUGUAUAAUCACUGAGUAACCUAAGAUUUUCAGUCAUCAUGCUCUCCCAAAUAUUUAAGCAGUUAUGCCACUGUUGACUUUCUGACUAGCUGAGAUGUUUUCCUUUGGCUCUUGAUGCCAACUCUUUGAUCAAUGUUAUCAUUUUAUUUUAAGUUCUCUUGGAAAGGUUUAGAUUAAUAAGUACGUUAACUGGAAGUAUCUUGACUUUUUUUUAUAGUGACUUAAGGAAAUAUUUAAGUAAAAUGUCCGGCUUUUGUCUCGACUUUUUAUGUUUUGAUUCAGCAUUUAUCUUACUGGCAAAUCACAUUUCUAACUGCUUCUGUUUUAAAUGGGAGACCUUACUAGCCUCCUGGAGUAAACAUUUUAAGAUACUUACCACACAGAAUCCCCUCCUCAAUGUUUAUCUUCUAUAUGAAUGGAUUUUCUUUUAUGUUGUGCUUUCACGUGUCUGAGUAACACUUUGUGUGUUCUUGAAUUCUUUUCCUGUUUGGUUGUCUUUGUUUUCCCUAAAGCCACCCAGAUUUUCCCUCUUUUUCUACAGACGCAUAGUCCACUGGCACGCUGUUUAUUUUUCUUACUUCUUUUCUUUUUCUUUAAUCUGUAGUGUGUGCCCUGCAAUAGGAACAGGGGAUUUAGAAAACGGCGGCAUUUUUGGCCUUGGUCACAGCAGCACCAAACAACACCUCCAGAGAGUAAAUGUUUGUGCUUCCAACUGCUCCACAUUCUCAAAAUUCGGGCCCGCAGUGUAGGUGGGGGCUUGUCAUGUUUCCUACAAGAUUAGGAAGUGAAGUCGUCCCUGGUGCCUGUGUGGGGGGCACCCUGGAAAGCUCUCCAAGGCCAUCUGCUCUGUCAGAAACUGGUAGGAAUCUUUUCUUUCCAGAAACCUCUUUGUGUGGUUCCUGGGACAUGGCAUCUGAGGAAUGUGGGUGCCUCGCCUACCUGCUGUCCUUUGACCCAACCUGGGAGUGCUUGCCCCUACCUGACUUCUCUGAGUCCCCAUUUCACUCUUUUAAAUAAAUCACCAAAUUGCCCUUCUCUUUUAGGCUGUGGCAGGUCCAGACUUCAGCCUGGAGCAGUGGGGAGUGGUCUGAAACCAUGGGGACCACCUAGAAGGCACAGAAGCUUUGGCAGGUUGAGCGCGAGCUAGUGGCACGCUAGCAUGGCAUCGGGAGAGACAGAGAGAAGACAGAUUCUAGGAUCGAAAAGAUUCUAGAAACCAUCAAGUUCAGCAGUCCCCAAAGCUGGUCUCCACACGGGGAGACACUGUCAUUGUCAAAUGACCCACAGAAGGAAGUGCUGGAGGCAGGGGAGGGGACUUGCAGAAAUGGAUUUCUGGUCUCCAGGUUUACCAACCACUGGGAAUGCAGCCCUCCCCCGAUCUCCUGUCAGGUGAAGCCCAGAACAGGUGUGUGUGACUUUGCCAACAUCUGUGACUGUUUAGUGACAGAACUAGAAUAUACAUUCUCCCAAAUUAUUAAUCCAUUAUUCCUUCUAGUACAGCGCAGAAACAAUGUACCGCAACCGUGCUUGGGGGAGGAGGAGGGAUGUUAUGCUAACAUCAUAAUAAGAGCAAAAGCACCAAGCAAAAGCUCAAGGUAAAAAGGAAAAGGGGCAGCGGGGGAAGAGGAGGUCCAAGGCAGAUCACAGGGCGCUGUUCCUAUGCAAACCUGAAAGCAUACAGAGGCCAGGAGUGCACACAGAUCACACUAAUUCAAUCCAGAUCUGGGAACUUAUUGCCCUGAAUACGUAUGUUUAUAGCCCCUGCUUCCUCCUCCCUCCCUUGCAAGGCUUGGGCUGGUCCUGGUGUGUGAGGUUAGAGAAAUUCAAUGGGAAGGUUUAGACACCCAGAGCCAAGAUCAUUACAACUCUUGCGCUCCCAGCACAGAAGUGAGGGGAGGAAUGUAUGAUGCAGUUGUGUUUUGUGUUUAAGAAAGAAGAAGAAGAAAAAAAAGCCUGUGUGGUCCUGAAGGAAAGAACAUUUUAGGUCAAAUAUUAGGAAAAACUUGCUAACACUAGAGCCAUUCCUCUGAGGAUCUGAGAAUUUCCUUUCCUGCCAUAUUCCGAUCAUGACUUUUUUUUUUUUCCUCACAGCAGUGCAGCAACAAGGCAGAAACUACCAUUUGCAGGACAAAUUCGGGUCAACCUUUGGGAUGUCUGUCUUGCUUCUGCGCUUUAAGAAAUUUGUUCAGUCACUGUAGCAGGCCUGCAGCCCGAAUGGCCUUUCCCCCAGUUUUAGUUAGCCCCAAGCAUCACUGCUAUUCAGGAAUGGGAUCCUCUUUUAACCCUUCAGAGGGUGCCAGGGCAAAGUCCUCAGUGUAUUCAUGAGUCAAGGAACAGCAUCUCUGGCGUGGAGAUGUCUGGCAGGCUGGAAUUUCUGGAUGGCUUUUCCCAUCGUAGGGAUUCAAGCAAACCAUUGUCAUUUUCCCUCUCUAGCAGGAGAAAGAAAAAUCCCAGCCCCUUAGAGCAUAUUCGUUCUGGCUCAAGCACAUGGGUUUUCUUUCCUGGAAACAGGGACUGGCUCAGUGAGACGCCCCCAGAGUUGUGCUUUGUGUUGCCAAGACGCCCGUUCUGGCAAGCUACAGAGGAAAGAGGCUGCUGGAGAGAAGAAGUCUCGAUGCCCCCCAGAAGGACACAAAACCUUCAUUAUUUAAUAGUUCUCCAGCAUCCGAGAAAUUUUAUCCCAAGGAAAAGGCUUCGAUAACUUCAUUAAUAGGAGUAUUUUAAGAAUUGUAAGUAGAAAUUAGAUCACAUUAAAAGGUGCAUUUCUAAGCCAAGUACAAGUUAAGUUGCCUACCGAGCUAAAGAGCGCAACAAGCGGGCUGUGGAUCUGCACGGUUGUGUGUCUGUAACUGGCAGCACGUGGACUGGGUGAGCCAAUUUCCCAGUCCCCCGGCCCAAGGCCUCACAGGCGCCCCAGCACCGGGACACUCCAAAGGCUCUUCUGUAAAGCCCCACCGUGACAGCUGUGCCUGAGGCAAAAGCAACAUUGAUUCAGGGGAGAGGCCAGACCACGGUGUGACACAGAACUCAGUCUCUUCAACAAUCACUUCAUCUCCAAGGUUUCUGCUAGGAGCCUUCAUUGGCUGCACGACCACCUAGGGUAGCAGUUCUCUGAGGGUGGGCUGCAGACCCUUGGGAGGUCCAACCCUAUUGCAGGUGGCCCAUGAGUCAAAGCCAUUUUCAUGAUAAUAUUAAGAUGCUCUUUGGCUCACUUCACCGUACUGACAUUUGCAUUGAUGACAUAAAUGCCAUGGGGGAGAAAAGCAUCAGUGCCUUAGCAUGAGUCAAGGCAAUGGCACCAAACCGUUCCAGUGGGCACUGAUUCUUCACUGCCUCACACCUGCAGUCCGGAGACACCCCUGCUCAUUUCCUUUAAGAAUGUUCUUGGGGAACCAUAGGAAAUACUCAUUUUAUUAAAUCUCGACCUUUAGGUACCGGUCUUUUUAAAGGUCCAUGUCAUGAAAUGGGAAAUACCCUGGAAAACUCUGCUGUAUUCCAAAGUACCACGUUUGUCCCGAGGAAAAGCAGUGGUGCAAUUGUUUGAGUUACCAACUAAACUCGCUGCUUUUCGAGGAGCACUACUUCUACCUGAAGGGAUGACCGAGAGACACAUGACAGCUAUUCAGACUUGGAUAUUGGGCAGACAUUUUCUCAAAAGUUGGCAAGUGAGCCCAUCACUUCAAAGAAAAUAACUGGCAGUAUUUGCUGCCAGUGGUAGAAAUGAAGGCUUCAAGCAAAAACUGGAACUUUGGAAAACUUGUAUCAGCUCCCGCGAGCUUCACAGCUUUACCACUAUUUAAAGACUUUACUGAUGAUAUCAAUUGUGAUCUUGAUAAACGCAACGUUUGAUACUGUAUGAGUAAUGUCUCAACAUUGGGAAUGUCAGCAUAACUCAGUGAAUCAACAUUUUCCAAAUGACCAAUGCCUGAUGCUACAAAAUUAUGCAUGGGUAAAGAUCACUUCAAAACAUAAGACAGACCAAUGGAUUCUAAUGCAAUCGAGAUGAAACUGUUAUUCAUUUGAUUUCAGGUUCCACACUGCAACUAACUUUUAAACAAACUACCACUUGUGCAGUUUGGGUAUAGUAUCAAAGAAAAUGCAGUUUUCUGCAAAGGCUCAUAAAAUACCCCCCUCUUUUCCAAUGAUAUAUCUGUGUGGAGUCAGAUUUCUUUGUAUACUUCAACCAAAACAACACAUCACAACAGAUUGAAUGCAGAAGCAGAGAGAAUCCAGCUGUCUUCUAUUAAGCCAGAUGUUAAAGAGAUUUGCAAAAAUGUAAAGCAA